rnacentral:rRNA from 1 species
GGCCUCCGGGGGCUCCCCCCGGGCGGUAGAGGUAACACUCUUACGCGCCACAUGUCUGAAUCCUUUUUUUACGAGCACCUUUCGUUCUCCAACGGUGGGGCAACCUGCCGUUGGAACUUAUCAAAACCUUUUUUGCAUCUAGCAUUACCUGUUCAGAUACAAACAAUCGUUACAACUUUCUACAAUGGAUCUCUUGGCUCUGGCAUCGAUGAAGAACGCAGCGAAAUGCGAUAAGUAGUGUGAAUUGCAGAAUUCAGUGAAUCAUCGAAUCUUUGAACGCACAUUGCGCCCCUUGGUAUUCCAUGGGGCAUGCCUGUUCGAGCGUCAUCUACACCCUCAAGCUCUGCUUGGUGUUGGGCGUCUGUCCCGCCUCUGCGCGUGGACUCGCCCCAAAUUCAUUGGCAGCGGUCUUUGCCUCCUCUCGCGCAGCACAUUGCGCUUUAGAGGGGUGUGGGCCGCCUCCACGAAGCAACAUUAUCGUCUUUGACCUCGGAUCAGGUAGGGAUACCCGCUGAACUUAAGCAUAUCAAUAAGCGGAAAAAUCAUUACAAUUCAAGGUGUGGUGGGCCUCGGGGGCUCCCCCGGGGGUGAGGUUAACUCUUAGCCACAUGUGCGAAUCUUUUUUUAGAGCACUUUCUUCUCUUCGUGGGGCACCUGCGUUGAACUUAUCAACUUUUUGCUCUGCUUCUGUUAAUCAACAUGUUAAAUUUAAAAGGGAUCUUUGGUCUGCAUCAAGAAAAAGACAAAGGGAUAAUACGUGAAUUUAAAUCCGAAUAUCAAUCUUUUAACAAGCCUGGGUAUUCAGGGGCAGCGUUCAGGUCCUAC